GUGGGGAAUCUUCCGCAAUGGACGAAAGUCUGACGGAGCAACGCCGCGUGAGUGAAGAAGGUUUUCGGAUCGUAAAGCUCUUUCGUUAGGGACGAACGUGCUCUUUGUGAAUAAUGAGGAGUAAUGACGGUACCUAAAUAAGAAGCCACGGCUAACUACGUGCCAGCAGCCGCGGCAAUACGUAGGUGGCAAGCGUUGUCCGGAAUUAUUGGGCGUAAAGCGCGCGCAGGCGGGAUAUCAAGUCUGUCUUAAAAGUGCGAGGCCCAACCUCGUGAGGGGACAGAAACUGGUAUUCUUGAGUGUCGGAGAGGAAAGUGGAAUUCCAAGUGUAGCGGUGAAAUGCGUAGAGAUUUGGAAGAACACCAGUGGCGAAGGCGACUUUCUGGACGAUGUCUGACGCUGAGGCGCGAAAGCUAGGGGAGCGAACGGGAUUAGAAACCCGAGUAGUCC
rnacentral:rRNA from 1 species